ACACCUCAACUCUCAUGGCUUGCCAUGGUGAGCUUGGACUUUGGGGGUCUUGCUGGCCUGUGGUCAGCUCCUCUCAAAUGAAUUAGCCUGCCGGUGUUUGGUGGGAUCACAGGUGUGAUAACUAUCUACGCUUGUGGUUUUCUGCCGGGUAACCCUCAGCAAUGGAGGUUCACUGGAGCUUAUAAACGUCUCUCCUCAGUGAGGACAGGUUUUGACC
rnacentral:misc_RNA from 1 species